GGGUCAGUAGGUUGGUCCUUCCACCGGUACGUACUGGUCUCACUGAUUCCUCCUUCCUGAAGAACCGUAAUGCCAUUAAUUUGGUGUUGCGGGGAAACAGGACUGUUACUUUGAAAAAAUUAGAGUGUUUAAAGCAAGCUAACGCUUGAAUACAUUAGCAUGGAAUAAUGAAAUAGGACGAUCGAUCCUAUUUUGUUGGUUUCUAGGAUUGACGUA
rnacentral:rRNA from 1 species